UACGUAGGGGGCAAGCGUUGUCCGGAAUCAUUGGGCGUAAAGAGCGUGUAGGCAGCCCGAUAAGUCCGCUGUGAAAGUCCAGGGCUCAACCCUGGGAUGCCGGUGGAUACUGUCGGACUAGAGUACGGAAGAGGCGAGUGGAAUUCCCGGUGUAGCGGUGAAAUGCGCAGAUAUCGGGAGGAACACCAGUGGCGAAGGCGGCUACCUGGCCCAUUCUUGACGCUGAGGCGCGAAAGCUAGGGGAGCAAACGGG
rnacentral:rRNA from 1 species